GGAGGGGUGGCAGAGCGGCCGAAUGCACCGGUCUUGAAAACCGGAGACGGGCAACCCCCGUCCGCGGGUUCGAAUCCCGCCCCCUCCG
rnacentral:tRNA from 1 species